ensembl:antisense BC050972 cDNA sequence BC050972
CACUGACUAGGAACUUGGUCUCAAAUGAGGGUAAAGCGAAUAGGGCCAAGAAUUAGGUGAGGUGAGGCAGAAGCGAAAACCCCACCCGGUGAAAACGGAGCAUUCCCUGCACUGGCCACUCCUGCAGUUGCCUCCAGUCUCACUUUUAACCUGCUGAAACACUCCAGUCAUGGCCAAACUAACUAUUGAAGUGCCAGCCAGUGUUGUUGAAGGGCACAACAUUCUUCUACAUGUUCACAAUAAAUCACAGAAUUGGCAAGCCUUUUCCCAGUACAAAUGUUUUGAUUCCAAAGAAGAUGAUUAAACUGUAUCUUAUAAAAUAUCCCCCUGAUUCAUAUAAGUGAGGGCAUCAAUCCAGUGGUAGAGAGACAAUAUUUACUAAUGGGUCUCUGCUGUUCUUUAAUGUCACCCAGAAAGAUACAAGAUGCUACAGCAUGCAAACCUUUGAUACAUAUCAUCCACAUGAACAAACAAAUCUCCAUGUAUCACCCAGCAAGUGAUUCCCUGUAACUUCUGGAUAUUGGAU